rnacentral:rRNA from 1 species
UCCAGACUCCUACGGGAGGCAGCAGUGAGGAAUAUUGGUCAAUGGGCGGGAGCCUGAACCAGCCAAGUCGCGUGAGGGAAGACGGUCCUACGGAUUGUAAACCUCUUUUGCCGGGGAGCAACGGGGUCCUUGCGAGGGCCCGAUGAGAGUACCUGGAGAAAAAGCAUCGGCUAACUCCGUGCCAGCAGCCGCGGUAAUACGGAGGAUGCGAGCGUUAUCCGGAUUUAUUGGGUUUAAAGGGUGCGUAGGCGGGCUGUUAAGUCAGCGUUCAAAUGUCGGGGCUCAACCCCGGCCUGCCGUUGAAACUGGCUGUCUUGAGAUGUCGAGAGGUAUGCGGAAUGCGCAGUGUAGCGGUGAAAUGCUUAGAUAUUGCGCAGAACUCCGAUUGCGAAGGCAGCAUACCGGCGGCGAUCUGACGCUGAGGCACGAAAGCGUGGGUAUCGAACAGGAUUAGAUACCCUUGUAA